UUGGAGACCAGGAAUCUGAGAUCAAGGUGUGGGCAGGGGUGCGCUCCCCCUGGAGGUUCUAGGAGAGGAUCCUUCCUGCCUCUUCCAGCUCCUGGUGGCUCCAGGUGUCCCUGGGCUUGUGGCCACAUCACUACAUUCUCUGCCUCCAUCUCCACGUGACCUUUUCCUCUGUGUCUGUGUCUCCUCUUCUGUCUCUUAGAAGGACACUGGUCAUUGGAUUUAAAGGCCACCUGGGUAAUUUAUAGUGAUCUAAUCUCAAGAAUCUUUCCUUAAUUACAUGCAAAUACUCUUUAUCCAAAUUAGUUUGCAUUCACAAAUUCUGGAGCUUAGUACUUGGACAUAUAUUUUGGGGGGUUGAUGGUUGGAGGGGCUUUUAUUCAACUCAGUACAUCUUAAUAAGGAAUUAAUGCCCCCCAACUUGCCUUACAAGUCAUAUAUUAAAAACAAUGUUGGCCUGGCACAGUGGCUCAUGCCCGUAAUCUCAACACUUUGGGAAGCCAAGGGAGGAGGAUCACUUGAGCCCAGGAGUUGGAGACCAGCCUGGAUAACAAAGGGAGACCCAGUUUCUACAAAAUAUUUAAAAAUUAGCCAGGCAUGAUGGUGCAUGCCUGUGGUCCUAGCUAUUCAGGAAACUGAGGUGGGAGGAUCACUUGAGCCUGGAAGUUCAAGACAGCAGUGAGCUAUGCUCACACCACUGCACUCCAUCCUGGGCAACAGAGCUGGACUCUGUCUCAAAAAACAUAACACUAAAACAUCAAAAUUAAAAAAAAAAAAACAAUGAAAGUAGCCUCCACUUACAAACUAAUUACUCUUUCUUGAAAAUAUUACACUUUUUUUCUUCUAUAUCUCUACUCCUAGCUCUCAACACCUUUCUUAAGCCCACAUCAUAACCUGUCUUGCAUAACUUUGUGAGUGCCCAACGUUUCACUGUACAAGAUUGUAGAGCUGCAUGCUUCUUAAGAAUAAAUCCACACUUUAGGUACCAGUAAAUCCAUGCAAUGCCUCAGACGUUAUAACCAAAUAAUGCCUGGAAAAUCGACAUGAAUUUAUGUGAAGCAUAAGCCUUUAAUUUUUUUAAAGAAAAGUAGAUUGCUGUUUUUCCACAUCAUUUCAGAGCCGUUCUCUAGUUUUGCAUGCCCUUUACUGCAGAACCAUACAGAUUUUGUUCUCCAUUUCAUACAUCAUUUGUUGAAAUGCCCUUUAAAAUGUAACGGAAUAUAGAGCUUUAUGGGAAAAAAUGCUGUAGAAAAUAAAUUAUCUUCUCUCUUUGUAUUGGGAACCAAAAGGUCUCACCUUAUUAAUGACCACAGAGACUCUCCUAAAGCAAUUCUGGAAGUCAAAACAGCUGGAGUCUAGUUUAAUGGGAACCCUCAUUAAUUAGACAAGAACACCAAGGCUAUGACCACAGCAGCUGGUAGCAGCAGCCCUGCAGUGAAGUAGACUCUCAGAGGACACAAGGAAAGAGUGUAUUGAUAAGAAAUCUACAGCAAAGGUGUAGCACAUCAUCAUUUGAUCUUGAUACACUUGACUGUGGGCAAAGUACCUGUUAUGUAAAACAUGCUUUGUUAGUUA
rnacentral:lncRNA from 10 species